rnacentral:tRNA from 1 species
GCCUUCGGGGUGUAACGGUUAGCACAUUCGGCGCAUAUUCGAGAGAUACAGGUUCGAGUCCCGGCGAUGGCA